UUGCCGAUCCUCCCAGCUGAAUAAAGCCCUUCCUUCUACAACUUGGUGUCUGAGAGGUUUUGUCUGCGGCUCGUCCUUCUACAUUUCUUGGUCCCCUGACCGGGAAUCGAGGUAACUGAGGGAUGGCCGAGGUAGCCCCUUAGGCAGCUUAGGCCUGCCCUGUGGAGCAUCCCUGCAGGGGACUCUGGCCAGCCUGAGUGACGUGAUCCAAAGAGCACUCCUGGGUAGAAAAUUGCCUGGGUGGAACGCCUCACCAGAACAGCACGUAGCAGGCCCCUGUGGAGGAUUAACACAGUGGCUGAACACCGGGAAGGAACUGGCACUUGGAGUCCGGACAUCUGAAACUUGGACUGUGAAUGCAGCCCGUGAAAAAGAGGGUUUUCGGAAGCUUGACAUUUAUGAGGGUGAGGGAUUGACAAGCCGACAUCAGUCUCCAGAGUGAAUCCAAGGAGUGGACCCAAGACAUUUGUGUUCUGUGAUGUGGUGGCAUGUUACCUGUCAUCUCCGAUGCAUAACUCCUAAAGUGCGUCUGGGGCAGUUGUACAGAUUGCAGAGGAUAAUACUCAAGAUGUUCUCCAAGGCCAACUAGUCAUCAGUUUAUUCAUGUUUCUGGGAUUGGAUUCAUGAACUCAUCCUUUGAACUAUUUCAACAAGCUUUUUCAUGUAACUAAUCUGCGGAAGGUAGAAAGGGGAAAACUGUUGGGUGCUAAAAUGACAACUGGUUCAAGGUACAAUGGCGAAUAUUUUUAUUUCUGCAACUUUUCUUAGAGGUUGGAAACUGGACUGGGCAGGAAGAUUCCUUUUUGUAAGAUUAGUCUCCAGUUUUCAUCAAGCAGUUUAGUGGGGUAUUUUAGGCCCAGUUCCCUCUCCACAGUCCCCAAAGGUCUUCUGUUAACUUUAAAUCCGCAAAGAGAGAGAUCUCUGCCAAGCAGCAACUGCAAGAGCAUGUGGGUCAAUGUUACCAGCAGACACUCAAAGCCCAUUCCCUUUACUUCAACACCGCUUUAUAAAUUAUCUUAGAGACGUUGUCAGGUUGGUAUUAGAGGUGAGUGGUCAUGACUUCACGAUUUCUCAUCUUUCUGAAUGCAUAGUGGCUGGGAGUGGUGGCUCAUGCCUGUAAUCCCAGCAGUUUGGGAGGCCGAGGUGGGCAGAUUGUUUGACCACAGGAGUUGCUCCCAAGAUGGUGGUGGGCCACUUCCAAGAUGGUGGCAAGAGUCGUAUUCUCUGACCUGGGGUUCUUGGUCUCAUGGAUUCCAAGGAAUGGAAUCUUGCGCCAUGUGGAGAAGCGUCAGAUAAUUAGGCAGCAGUCCAACAAUUAGGUUUUGUGGAACUUUUACUAUGUCAUCUAUUUAUUGGAAUUCCCCCUGGAUACCAGGACCCCCUCCAGCAGAGCUUAAAGUUAUAGUUACAGGAAGUACAAAUUCCUUAUGUGGAUCCCUGGAAGUGUGAUGAGAAGAACCACUGUUUCCAAGAUCUAUUUAUUCUAUUUAUCAGGCCUAUAAAAUCAUGUAAUGGCCAUGGCUUCAACUAGACUCCACAUCUUGAAUCACAGAACUCAACGAAUGGCAUCAACUACAAGCUGGUAUUCUGCUAUACAUUUAAGAGGCCAUUUUAAUAUUCUAUUAGUCUAGCAGCUUCUAAGUGAUGAGGGAUAUGGGGGGACUGGAGGAUCCCGUGCUCACUUCCUUUUCUGUAAAAGGAGCUCUUUGAUCCAAGGUGACAUGGUAUGGGAUCCAAUGACAAUAAAUCAGUUAUUCUGUGAACCCUGAUCAAAACUUGACUAAACUUUUGACAGUUAGGUUUUUUCCUGACCACAGACUCCUCACCUUUCUUUUCUUAGAAAAUUUACAUUGGAAAACAGAUGUAAAUUUUCUCCAGCCUCUUGCAAGGUUUACAGUCCAGGACUUUGAGGUCCUGGGAGUCAUCCUUUUGAAAUACAAUCAUCAAAGAAGAUAGUGCUCCAAUCUCCUAGUCUCUGUGGGAGGGUUGGAACCUAACUUCAGUAAACUAAUCACCAAUUAGCAAACACAGAGGGGCUGAUCAUACUGACCCACUUUCCCACUAAAAUGUCUAGUACUUUCCACCAGCUCACCACAGUGCUUAAAAACUCUCCUGUCUUUUGUUUUACUAGAGUUGAGUCCAAUCUCUUUCAUCUAUUGCAAUAGUGUUGAAUAAAGUCUUCCUUGCCUAAC
rnacentral:lncRNA from 10 species